rnacentral:lncRNA from 1 species
GAGAAGUUUCACUCAGUCCUGGAGAAAACAUUUCAGUUGGUCUUUAUGUGAAAAAAGAAAAACAGGGUGAAAGGAAACCUCUGAGCAGAAAGUCAUCUCGCAGCAAAAUCCUUCCCAAGCAACUUAUUUUUUACAGUUCUAACCGAAUUCAUUUGGCAAAAGUGACAGAAAUUCACAGUAUUUCUGCUUUUUUUUCACCAGAAAGAGCACUGAGCCCCCCAGAAUCCACCCACACUGUUUCUGCUGCUGUGUUCAAAAAGCCACGGGGCUCUGGGCCCUUGCUGGCAGGAUGGGAGGGACAAGGAACAGCCCUGCAGGUUGGUGACAGAAGGUUUAGCAAAGGGCUCCUGGAAGCCUUCCCUCUGCCAUACUUCCACACGGCGAAUGUUCCCGUUACUACUUGCAAGCUGGUCGCAGAGCACAGCAAAUACCAGGUACAAUAAAGACCCAGACAGCAGAACGGAGUAUAAAUAGAUGAUGGAAUUCCUGGCAUCAGCUCUGGAGCAGUUUGGGACUGGAACGAGUGAAAAAUACAGUUUCUCUAAAAGGGAAAUUUCCUGCGAGUAAAAGCCAAAUGUUCCCCCUUGCUCCCCCUCCUUCUUUCCCCAGAUUCCAGUUUUUCACUGGGGAGAAUCCAAGUGUUUCAAGUGAGCUCAAGCAGAAUUUCGCUGUGUUGAACUGGCCUGAUUUGGGAUGCAAACCGACCUCUGAAAGGCUGAAAUUUCCCGUGGGAGCAGAAAUUCGGAAUUUUGCUCAGCUCCAGUUACUCUGUGCAUGGAAAUGGCUUCCAGCAAACAAACAGCGCAGACAGGAGAUGCACCCGGAAGGCUCACGGCCCUUAGGAAGCUCUGGAAAACCCAAGCUGGAUUUAACAUCAGUGAGAAAACCUGGAAUCAGAGCCGUGUCCCAAAACCCGGAGCUUCUGUGUUGGAUGUCUGCGCAUCUCAGCCUUAGAGACCUGAGCAGGGCUCUGGUUACGCCCCAUGGAGGGAGACUAUGGAGGCUCAAGUCCUGCGUAUGGGAUGGAUGACACCAUAGGGGACAUGUCAUCUCACGUGAGAUAAGUGGCCCAAUAUGCACAUAGUGUGUUUCUGCUUCAUUCUGCUGAAGACGAGCAUUUACACAGGCCGUUCUGAAAGUAAUGCCUCCUAUUUAUUUCCAAAGAAACAACAACAGAUACAAAGAGCACAAUAAUGCUGUUUGAUAGAGCAAAUUCUCAGCUACAAAACAUUAUUCUUCAACAUGGGCACCACCAUCCACUCUGUAUUUUUGAAAGUAAUGAACAAGAGCCUGUGUGCUGUGCUUGUACAGGCAUGCAUCAGUGGAGGUAACCCACUGUCACCAUCUGAAAUGCAGCACCAACUGUGCUCACUGUGCUCACAUCCACCAUUCGAUCUCCAUAAACACUCAGCAAAUGUUGGUGAAUGUCAAUGGAUGCCAUUUUUUCUGCAUGGAGGAUUUAAUUCCACCCCUUUGCUUCAUACAUGCUUCCAUGACAGACACCAUUUUGCCACGCUGUCCCUCAGCUGUUGUUUGUCACACGGCAACAAAACAUAAUGGGAUACUGGUGGGAAGGUUCAGCCUCUACUGCCAUCCAAUCAACAUCUGCUUCUGAUCAUAUAGCAGGAGGCAAUACUUUCAGAGCAGCCCUUGUAUAAUGGCUCUUUUUAGGUGACAUUUUCUUUUGGGUAAUGGAUACAAAAAGAGGAAAAGGGAGAGCAAACCAAUAGAAAAAUCAUAAUGUGAUUGCUUUUAAGUGGCUUUUUUUGACCCGUUGUUUCGAAAAGGUGCCGCAAAUCAGUCAAAGUUUCCUCUUCCCAUCUGCGAAGGUGCUGUUCUAAAUUCAACCUCACACGAAAAUUCAAGCCGCCUCGUCCUCACUGGGGCUUUAAAUCAAAUUAGUUAACUGAAUUAGGAAUGCUUUUUGCUUUUAUACGUUUGGUUGAGACUGAUGAGCCCAGAGCCGUGAAGGAGCUCAGUCUGACUGCAGCUGCUGCCGGACCUGCAUGCAGUGAUCCUCGUGCCCAGAGCUUCCCCGAGCCUGCCCCGUAUUUUCUGCACCAAUGACAAAUACCUGGUGUCAUUGAUAUUCCAUUAGUUUCCUUCACUGAAAGAUCGGACAGCUUUAAAAAGCCAAUAAAUUCCCACACGUUGUCUCUAAGAAAAGGAUAAAGGAUUCCUUGGCGGGCCACACACCAUUAAGCCCCAGAAGCGAGUGGUGUUUUAUGGUUUGCGGAGCUGAGGUCACUGCUUUGGGAUGGAUGCAAUUAAGGCUCACAGAAGCUACCAAAGCCUGCUGCUUCUUCAAGUGCUCUCAAAAAGACACCUUGCUUAGAGGAGUGCUGGUGCAGUUCCCCUUAUUCUGGUCCUGGGAGCAUACCCCAGCAUAUCCCAGUCCUGGGAGCAACCUUGCACCCUCUGACAGGGUGCUGAGGCAUUGGAACAGGCUGGCAGAGAGCUGUGGGUGCCCCAUCCCUAAAGGUGCUUAAGGCUGGGUUGGAUGGGGCCCUGAGCAGCCUGAUCCCAUGGGAGAUGUCCCUGCCUACUGCAGGGAUUGGAACUGGGUGGGUGCUGAGGUCCCUUCCAACCCAAACCAUUCUAUGCAAAGCAGCAUGGAUCCCACCUGAGAAAGCCUCGUGAAGAUCCAGGGAUUGAAUGCAUUUGAAGCCACAGCAUCCACUUGCUCUGUAGACUAGAGGACAUAGGUGUUCACCCACUAUUUCAAAGUGUUUUUUGGGGUGCUGCUUAUCUUCUACCAUGGGCAACGUGCCUACCUUGUGCUCUCCACACCUCAAAAGACGUCACAGAAUCAUUAAGGUUGGAAAAGACUGCUAAGAUCAUCUUGUCCAACCAUCAGCCCAGUGCCUCCAUGCCCACUGACCACGUCCCUCAGUGCCGUAUGCCAUAUCUCAAGCCGCAUGGCCUUCUCUUUGAAUACUCAGACAUUCAAUAUUCGUGAUGUGAAAUUACGGGAGCUUCCUCAUUUCCCACUGUGCUCAGGAACUCUGGAUGCUGUCCCUUUUCAGGUGCCAUUUCCUGAUGUUUUUCCACCCACCUCUCUGUCACUGUGAUUUCCCCAGGGCUUUCUGUAGAUAUAAUCCUUCAGUGAGUGCCUUGUUCCUCCUGUUCUGUUUAAGGCUGAAAAAUUGUUACUUGUGCCCAAAUUCCAGCCCCUUGCACCCAGAUUUUGGGUUCCAGGAAGGCACAGGAUUCUUUUCUAUUGCUUGGUACACGUAAAGCAGAACCUUUUAGUGAAAUACAAGAAUAAAUGAAUAUGUAGAUGUAUCUUUUUUUUUUUUUUUCUGAAGGUCUCGAGCACAAAUGCUUGCUCUGAUGAGUGACUCAUUCCCUUUGUCAGAGAAGCAUUGUUGGGUGUUUUCAGGCUAUGAGCAAGGCAAGGUUUGGAGGAGGAGUUACCCUCUUUUAUUAGACUGGAUGAUACGGUUGGAAAGAAUCAAGCAAGAUUGCAGGCAUGUGAUCCUUUCCUUCAGGUGCAGAGCAGCUUUUGCUGCCUUCAAGCUGACUGCAAGAACAGCCAUUGCACUGCUGGGCAUAAUGGAGCUAAAGUCAGAGCUGGUGUCCUCAGCCUGGACCUGGAAAAAGAGCCCUCAAGCUCCCCUGAUCACAGCAGCAUCACCUUAAAUUCAACCUCAUAUUAAAAAUCCUUAUCACUUAAUCUAUUAAUUUAUAGCAGCUCCUAUGAAUGUAUUUGCCCACAUGUCCAUGUGGCUUCCAGUUGCUCCUUUAUACCUGACAAAUAGGAGCAAUUAAAACCUGGAGGUGAUCAACUGCAUUUCCACUUGAGGUGAUCAACCUCCUUCCUCUUGACACUGGGACAAAAUCUCAACAUUCAGGUAAUUCCAGUCCCACACAACAAGUGCAUGGGAGGAACAGGAGGGAGGGAGGAGGUGCUUGAUGUAAGUUAAAACCUCUGUCCAAAUUAAUGGGGGAAAAAAAUCAAUGCAUCAGAAUCAACGGGGCGUGUAGAUCCCUACAGAAGGUAAUGCAAUGGGUUUGCACGUCCCUGUAGAAACAUGUGCAGCUCCACCAAGGCAAUGACAGCUCUGGGCUGGGGCACAUACAAGGUGCUGCCUGGGCUGGAUUUGGGGGAAAAUAUCCAAGCAAACCCCAGAUUUCCUAAGUUUUUGUGUGGCACAUGUACUUAUCAGUGACAUUCCUACCCUUGAUCAAGGCUAGCACUGCGUACUCCCAGCACUGUCUGUUUCAGCCUCUCCAGAUGCAGGAAAUCUUCCCUCCCCUCUCCCACUGAGUCUGACUCAGAAAUUGUUUGAAAAUCCCAGUUUUCUGACAUCUCCUGGCUGUUCCCCUCUGGGUAAUGGGAAGCUGAAGGCAAAGCAAACAAAGGAGUCCUUAUGCUCGGGAGAGCUGGCGGAUGGCAGUGGCACCUCCUCCUCUCCUCCUGCUGCUGUGGUGGGGAUCCGGCCUCAUUGUCUGAACAGCUCCAGGCAUGGUGAGCGCUCUGCUAAUGUGACUUUUGCAUCCCAGAGAGAGCUGUGGCCGACAGGGAGCCCCUGGUAUUAAUUAUCUGGGUCGCAGGAUGCACAGGGAAGAUGGCAGUGAUUUGUUUCCCUAUUCCAUUGAAAAGGCAGCAAUGGUCCCAGGCAGCUCAAGCCUGACACACUCAUCAUGCUCAACUAGGUGCAAUUGCCUCUCUGGGGAUAGGAAAGGAAGGGGUCAAUUCCUUUCCUGGUGGUGUUGAGGAGCUGGCACAGGCUGCAUAGAGAAGCUGUGGAUGCUCCAUCCCUGGAGUUGCUCAAGGCCAGGUUGGAUAGGCUUUGGGCAACCUGGUCUGGUGGGAGGUGUCCCUGCCCAUGGCCAUUUCCUCAAACUGAAGCCAUUCUAUGACUCCAUGAUUCCAUGACACAGCAGGGCAGAGCUACCUGGCUGCUGAACACUGCCCUGCAGACUGCAGUCCAGACAUUAUCCAGCUGGAGUAGGCCAUGUCAGCACCCAGCUGUGACAGCUGAGCUUCACA